GGUUUGACGAAAAUUGACCUCAUUGACCCCACUCGACUUCCAGGCCCGAGCCUUCUCGCUGAGGAAAGGGAUCAAAGGAGGAAGGAGCACUCCUCUUUUUCUCCUUAGGGUUUUUUAUUUGCUUUCUUUGCUUGCUACUGGACUGGUGUCUCUCAUCUUCUUCAACGACCUGUCGUAUCUGUUAUCACUCACCUUCCCACUAGAAUGAGUCGGCAUCCGGAGGUUCUCUGGGCUCAGCGAUCCGAUAAGGUAUACCUGACGAUUGCCUUACCAGACGCCAAGGAUAUUUCAGUGAAAUGCGAGACUGGAGGGGUAUUCAGUUUCUCUGCAGUUGGGGUUCAAGGCGAAUCCUUUGAUUUCACUUUGCAACUCUAUGGAGCCAUUAUUCCUGAGGGCUGUAAAACUAAUGUUGGGUUAAGGAACAUAAUAUGUUCAAUCCAGAAACAAGAGAAGGGUUGGUGGAAAAGACUACUCAAGUCGGAAGAAAAACCUGCACCUUACCUUAAGGUGGAUUGGAACAAAUGGUGUGAUGAGGAUGAUGAAGAGACUAAUUCUGAUUUGGCCUCUGAUGAUGAUAAUAUUGCGGUAAAUAGUUUAUUCUUUUGAUUAUUUGGCAUAUAUAUAGAUUUUACUUGUGCUUGUGUCUCCUUAAUGACGUCUUUCCUUUCACAGUAUGGUGAAGAUGAUGAAGGCAGUGACGAUGAAGGAAUGCUUUGUGAGUUGCAACUUGAUCACUUUUACAAAACUGUAAUGAGCAAUUACAAAAUUAGCAGCAUAUGGGCACUCAUUGCAUAUACACAUUGUAAAUCAUAGUCUAUUAUGUGUUCCAUGUACCUUUUUUGUUGUUAUAGUACUGAAUUUUCAAUGAUUGAAGCGGGGUUAUUUGUGCUGUAUUUGUCUCUACCCUUUUCAGUCCACAUGGAAAAUUGGCUGAUGUGAACCUUUGUUUCUGCUGUUUCAUUUAUGAGAACAUGUCAAAGCGCUAUGUAAAUGAAAAAUAGAAUAUCAUGCCCUGUUAAUGUCUCUUCGCACUUCAUUAGCAUGUUUAACUCUAUGGAACUUGAACUGCAGAUCUUCCUGAUUUGGAGAAAGCCAGGGGAAAUUAAUGAAGAUCAAGCACCUACAAGUAACACGGAAGGGCAGUUCCAAUGAUUGAAGAAAUGUGUUGAUGAAAGGGGCAUGAGGGAAAUUUUAAUACAUGUUAUGCAAAACUACUGCUGUAAUAGAAGUUUGUAUAUAUUAAAUCUAACGUUGCUUUUAACAGGAUUGAUUCCUUGAGUCGGGUGAUUUUGUUGAAACUAAUUUGGGCGUGGUGUGGUUCAACUUAUAUCAUGCGAUUCUCUAGUCCUGUCUCUGUAGGAGCUGGGAAAUUAUUUCAAAUGGCGACACCGAGGGACUUACACUAUUGAUUGAAAACUGAGAAGUUUCGUUUGCUCUAGUUUUGGAGAAUUGUUUAUAUCUUGGCGUUCAUGUGUGAUACUUGAUUAUAAAGAUAAUUGCUCGAAGAUAUUUG
rnacentral:misc_RNA from 1 species